rnacentral:rRNA from 1 species
AGCUCUUGAUUUCAUGGCUCAGAUUGGAACGCUGGCGGGAUGCUUUACACAUGCAAGUCGAACGGCAGCAUUAAUUUCUGGUCUGCGGCGAGCAAGAAACUGGGUGAGUAAUGUAUCGGAAUCACUGGUAGGCGGGAUAACUACGCGAAAGCGUAGCUAAUACCGCAUACGUGGCCCUUCGGGGAAAGCGGGGACCUUCGGGCCUCGCACUAUUAGAGCGGCCGAUAUCGGAUUAGCUAGUUGGUGGGGCAACGGCUCACCAAGGCGACGAUCCGUAGCUGGUUUGAGAGGACGACCAGCCACACUGGACUGAGACACGGCCCAGACUCCUACGGAGGCAGCAGUGGGGGAAUUUUGGGAUGAAUGGGGAAACCCUGAUCCAGCCAUCCUGCGAAAAGAUUUGAAGGCUCUCGGGUUGUAAAGCACUUCCGGCAGGAAAGAAACGCACGGGGAGAAUACCCCGUGCACUGACGGUACCUGCAGAACAAGCACCGGCGAAUUGCCGCCAGCAGCUGCGGUAUAAUACGUAGGAAAAGUGGGGAAGACCGGAAUCACGGGCGUAAAGCGUGCGCAGGCGGUUCGGAAAGAAAGAGGAACCGGAGUUUAACUUGAACCGGCUUUUAACGUUAAUACGAGCUAGAGUGUGUCAGAGGGAGGAAUUCUGCGUGUAGCAGUGAAAUGCGUAGAUAUGCGGAGGAACACCAUUAUUUAUGAAGCGCAGCCUCCUGAUAACACUGACGCUCAUGCACGAAAGCGGGAGCAAAAUAGGAUUAGGAUAUCUGGUAGUUCCAUGUCUUAAAACGAUGUCAACUAGCUGUUGGGGCUUUCGGGCCUGGUAGCGCAGCGAACGCGAAGUUGACCGCCUGGGGAGUACGGUCGCAAGAUUAAAAACUCAAAGGAAUUGACGGGGACCCGUACAUGGUGCGAUGAUGUGGAUUAAAUUGAGCGCAACGCGAAAACCUCGACGAAUUCUUGAUGUUCGGGAAUCCUGAAGAGAUUUGGGAGUGUCGCAAGAGAAACCGGAACACAGGUGCCGUAUGGCUGUCGUCAGUCAAAGUCGCGAGAUGCUGGGGUUAAGUCCCGCAACGAGCGCAACCCGGCAUACGCCAGUUAUGCCGAAAGGGGCACUCUAAUGAGACCGUUUGCGACAAACCGGAAGGUGAUGACGUCAAGUCCUCACAGGCCCUUAUGGUAGGGUCAGCACGUCAGCAUACAAAUGGUCGGGACAGAGUCGCCAACCCGCGAGGGGGAGCCAAUCCCAGAACCUGACGUAGUCCGGAUCAGAAGUCUGCAACUCGACUGCGUGAAGUCGGAAUCGCUAGUAAUCGCGAUCAGCAUGUCGUGGUGAAUACGUUCCCGGGUCUGGCCACACCGCCCGUCACCGCCACCAUGGGAGUGGGUUUUACCAGAAGCAGUUAGCCCAACCGUAAGCAGGGCAUUACCACGGUAGGAUUCAUGACUGGGGUGAAGUCGUAACAACAG